CACCUCUUUUUUCUCCUCUGCGGCGGCGGCGGCGGGCGAUAGGGAGACGGGACCGGCCACCUUCGCCGGAGCUUGACCUCUUCGGCCUGACGUGCGAGAUGGAGGCAGAUGCGGACGCGGACGCGAACCCGGAGCAUGCCGUGCUACCCCAAGGCCACGAGGACUCAUGGAUUACAUUUUCCGUCUGCGUCAACCUGACGGGUCCAAUGCAGUGGUUUGUGUUUGCCGUACCUGUGGUCUCCUACCUGGUCGCCGCCGCCACUUUCGCGCUCCUGGAGGGAAUUGAAGUCAGGCGUCCCUGGCUCAGGUUCCUGCACAUCUUCGCUUGGACUGUGCUUAUCUCUUGGCUUAUCGCAUGCUACUGAGAGGAGUUUAUAUAUGCAGUAUCUUGUAUCACUUACUGUACUAUCUCUUGGGGACCAUCGAGGCUAAGUAUUCAUGUAGAGACUAUUCAUGUAGAGGCUAUAUAUCUAGUGUUUUGCUAUUUUACAGUGAUUUACAAUUGGGCUUCAUUCAAUUUUGAUUCUGCUGGCCCUUGUGAUGUGGAUGCAGGCGCU
rnacentral:rRNA from 1 species